rnacentral:misc_RNA from 1 species
AUCUGACAAUGCUAAAGUGUGGCGCCCUCCAGCAGCAACGGAGGUUAUCUUCACCCCUGGAUCCAAUUCUACAAUACAAGCUGGUGCAGAAAGAGAUUCGUCAGCAAGAGGUGGGCUUUCAAGUUCUUGUUUAGCCGUCAUUGUUCUCCUCCUUUUUGCAGUUUCUUCAGGUUUUUUAUUAUCUUGGUGAGCAACUGAACCACCAAUUGGCUUGGAGCCUUGAGAUUGAGGGCUUUCUUGGUCAGUUGACCCUGAUUCUUUCCGAAUAGCAUCCCCUUCAAAACUCCCUCCAGAAGCGAAAUUUGCAACAACCUUGGAAGAAGGCACACAUUCCUUCCAGCCCCAUGUGUACACAUCAUUCUUUUCAGUAACAGAUACACAAUGUGCCCAACCAGCUGCGGCUUUCAUGAUUGGAUCUUCAGUUGGAAGCGGAAAUGGUUCUGGAGCCUCCCCAUGUUUUCCAGAAGUCAAGUAGCUUUGGCCUUGAUCAUCUGCAGAACCCCACGUGAUAAGUUUUCCAGACUCUGAAAUAGCCAUAGCGAAACCACAACCUCCUCCACAUACAUCCUUCCAUGAUUGAACAUCGAUUCCGUUAUCCGGCAACUGAACUUCCACCGGAGAAGUUAACGGCGACUUAUGAGACAAUACUCCGGGAAGAUAUCCCCACAUAAACAACUCAUACUUCUUCUUCUCUUCAUUCUCUUCCUUCAUUUUCACCUCAUCUUCCUCUCCUCUUACACCGUUUUCACUCAUUUUUUCAGAAAAAA